GACGAACGCUGGCGGCGUGCCUAAUACAUGCCAGUAGAACGCUGAAGGAGGAGCUUGCUCUUCUGGAUGAGUUGCGAACGGGUGAGUAACGCGUAGGUAACCUGCCUGGUAGCGGGGGAUAACUAUUGGAAACGAUAGCUAAUACCGCAUAAAAUUGAUUAUUGCAUGAUAGUCAAUUAAAAGGUGCAAUUGCAUCACUACCAGAUGGACCUGCGUUGUAUUAGCUAGUUGGUGAGGUAACGGCUCACCAAGGCAACGAUACAUAGCCGACCUGAGAGGGUGAACGGCCACACUGGGACUGGGACACGGCCCAGACUCCUACGGGAGGCAGCAGGAGGGAAUCUUCGGCAAUGGACGGAAGUCUGACCGAGCAACGCCGCGUGAGGGAAGAAGGGUUUCGGAUCGGAAAGCUCUGUUGUAAGAGAAGAACGAGUGUGAGAGUGGAAAGUUCACACUGUGACGGUAUCUUACCAGAAAGGGACGGCUAACUACGUG
rnacentral:rRNA from 1 species